rnacentral:rRNA from 1 species
AUUGAACGCUGGCGGCAUGCCUUACACAUGCAAGUCGAGCGGCAGCGCGGGGGCAACCCUGGCGGCGAGCGGCGCACGGGUGAGUAAUACAUCGGAACGUGUCCUUUCGUGGGGGAUAACCAGUCGAAAGACUGGCCAAUACCGCAUGAGAUCUCACGAUGAAAGCGGGGGACCGCAAGGCCUCGCGCGAUUGGAGCGGCCGAUGUCGGAUUAGCUAGNGGCGGGGUAAAGCCCACCAAGGCGACGAUCCGUAGCUGGUUUGAGAGAACGACCAGCCACACUGGGACUGAGACACGGCCCAGACUCCUACGGGAGGCAGCAGUGGGGAAUUUUGGACAAUGGGGGCAACCCUGAUCCAGCCAUGCCGCGUGUGUGAAGAAGGCCU